rnacentral:rRNA from 1 species
UACAGAGGUCUCAAGCGUUGUUCGGAUUCAUUGGGCGUAAAGGGUGCGUAGGCGGCGCGGUAAGUCGGGUGUGAAAUCUCGGAGCUUAACUCCGAAACUGCAUUCGAUACUGCCGUGCUUGAGGACUGGAGAGGAGACUGGAAUUUACGGUGUAGCGGUGAAAUGCGUAGAUAUCAGGAGGAACACCGAUGGCGAAGGCAGCUUGCUGGGACGGUACUGACGCUGAGGAGCGAAAGCGUGGGGAGCGAACAGG